UCAGACUUUAAACACUGCGUCAAUACUUCGCUUGAAACUUUCCUCUGACUGGGCUGUGAUACAUGAUUCGGGUAGGCGGUUCCAGCUAUUAACUACACGGGUAGAGAGAGUGGCGUCACCAUGGAUGCGUAACCUCCUCGGUCUUCACCAAGUUCGCCUCGGAGAAUGCGCCGGGUAUAUAUCAGAUCUCCUCGGUGACGACGGUAGGCCAGAGAGAAGAGAUUCAGCUGUUCCAGUCGAUCUUCGUAGGAAAGCUGGUGAAGUUUUGCAACUGUUUUCGUACCGCGACGUUGAACUCGCUCCAGCAUAUCGGAUUCGUACUUGGUCAAUGGGAAUACUGCAGGCAGUCCGUACUCAAGAAUGGGACGCACGUGAGAGAUAAACAGGGGUCUGAAAAUCGCAGGAGUCAUACGGGCAAAAGACCGUCUGAUGGAUCCAAACAUCCUGGUGGCAGCGGUGACCUUCUUCGUGGUGUCAAGACUAGUCUUUAGGUCUGACGACACUAUGACACCAAGGUCCUUCUCACUUGUGGUGUUUUUAAGGAGAUAUCCUCCAAUAUGGUACGCCCCGAGUGGAUUCUGAGUUCCCAUGGAGAGCACUGAACAUUUGGCAUGGUUUAUUGGAAGCAGCCAUUUUUCCGUCCAACUUUGGAGCCUAUCUAACACGUCUUGGAAACGGUCAGCAUCCUCGACGCUAGUAACUUCAGCCCAAAGUUUUAAAUCAUCCGCGUACAGUAAACACUCAAUGUUCAGUUCUUUCGGGAGAUCGUUGACAUAGAGCUUGAAGAGUUCGGGUCCAAGGACCGAUCCUUGUGGCACUCCACUAGACAUAAGCACAGGCGCUGAGUAUGCGUCGUUGACUUUCACUCGCAUAUAACGUCCUUCCAGAAAGUCAGCAAUCCAGGAUAAGAUCUUCCCAGUUACACCAACCCUUUGGAGUUUAAGCAGGAGACGCAUGUGAGGUACUCUGUCAAAGGCUUUGCUAAAGUCCACGAAAAUGACAUCAAGGCAUUUACCAGCGUCGACGGCAGCUACCCACUUCUCUCUGGCUACUAAGAGAUUCGAUACACAGGAACGUCCUUCCUGGAAACCAUGCUGAGCAGCAGUUAGCACGUCAAGCUCGUUCAGUCGACAGGUAGACGUCCGGUUUCCAAGGAAAGCUGGAGUAUGUGUCGGACGGGUUCUGCAAUAUGCUCGACAAUAGUUCUGAGGAAAGCUGGGUGCAUCUCAUCUGGCCCAGGAGAGGAGUCCGGCCGUAACUCCAGAAG